rnacentral:lncRNA from 1 species
GGGAAAGCUUAUGUGAGGAUUUUCUUUUUUAACAGUUCAUUCUGUGAAACCAUUUUUUUCUUGUUUGCUGUUAGAAAAUGUUGGAGCUGAACACAAGGCUUUCAUUGCAGACUGCUAUCAAGGGAACUAAGAAAGGAUGUAGACAUAUUGUUAAUGUCUCUCUUCAAGCUGUAUUUGAGGAGGCCAGCUUUUAUAGUGCAUCCAUAGGAAUCGUCUCCACUACAGCCUUUCACCACACAGGAGACAGACUGAAGAUGUAGGCAGCUGGCGAAUAUGAAAGCAAUGAAGAGGUGUUCUGAGGUUGACAGUGCUUUUUGUAGUACACACAUUUUCUGGGAAGGGCAUAAGAAGGGAGAUAAACAGGAGAUGAUUGUGGCAAGCUGAGAAGUAGCUGUAGCAGACCAAGAUGUUCCAAAGAGAAGAUCACAGCAAAAAGGUAAGGGUGCCAACUUCAUCCUGUCCUUUUUCCUGCUG